AUUGAACGCUGGCGGUAGGCCUAACACAUGCAAGUCGAACGAGUGGCGGACGGGUGAGUACUGUCUGGGAAACUGCCUGAUGGAUGGGGAUAACUACUGGAAACGGUAGCUAAUACCGCAUACCAUCGGAUGUGCCCAGUUGGGAUUAGCUAGUAGGUGGGGUAAAGGCUCACCUAGGCGACGAUCCCUAGCUGGUCUGCGAGGAUGACCAGCCACACCGGAACGAAGACACGGUCCAGACUCCUACGGGAGGCAGCAGUGGGGAAUAUUGGACAAUGGGCGAAAGCCUGAUGCAGCCAUGCCGCGGGUAUGAAGAAGGCCUUCGGGUUGUAAAGUACUUUCGGCAGGGAGGCGUUACCCGCAGAAGAAGCACCGGCUAACUACGUGCCAGCAGCCGCGGUAAUAC
rnacentral:rRNA from 1 species